AGGACCUUGAGAAGGUGGAGGGCUCUGGUUUCUAGAAGGGAUUGAUUCUGACCGGCGGAAAUACCUCAACAUGUAACAGAAAAAGGAAAAGAGGAUCUGUUUUCUGAGUCCCCGAGCUGCAGCUGUUGAGUUUCCAGACACAAACAAGUAUUCUGUGAGCCUCGCUGAGCCCACACAGCAAGGAAGAGCCAAGCUGGAUUCCAUUCUGCUUUGCACAUCAGCAGCCCAGCUGCCAGCUGAACUCCAGGGCAAACUCUGUGCCUGGUAAUGAUGCAGGCUCUAGAAUGUCAUUUCUUGAGGUCGUCUGUUCCUUUUCGCCCACUAUGACCAAGGACUGAGCUCCCUCUACACCAGACCAUAUGGAAGUCGAGCCGGGGGCUUCAUCUGACCAGGAAGAGAUGAGGAACGCUUCACCCGUGUGCCAGGCAGACUCUCACGGUUCCAGGGCAGAGUUUCUAGAGCUUCCUGCCGUUACUGAUCCUCCUCAUCUUGCAAAACUGCAAAGCCUCCAGAUUCCCUCAUUAGACACCAUUCCAAUGCCAGUAUGCCUCUGCGCUUGGAUGCAUCUCUCUGCUUGUCGUUUGCUGCCUGCCAAUAAUUCCUGGGGCUGCACAAGGGGAGCUGGAUGGGAUGGUGGGGAAGAGACCUGCAGUGGUUUGCUCUCCCGUGGUCUACUGCCCCUGCGUUAAUGUGUGGGCUUUCUAGCAGGCACUGGGAAGGACGUCCCCAGGAGAGGCAGAGGUGGGGCUGCUUCCCAAGAAGGGGCCGCCAGGCAGUUACCACGCUCCAAGGGGAGAUGGGCAACUCUUCUCAGGGGGACUGUGCCCUAGGGUCAGAUGCAGAAAUCUUCCCUCCGCCCUGAGCUGGAUGUUGGCUGGAAAGAUACUGGAGGUUUGGCUCUGACCCUGGCUUUGGAAAACGCCUCCAUUCUGCAUACAGACGAGGGUUCAGACGUUAUCCUAGACGCUCGCCCCUCUGCAAAGCCCUCCCCCAGCUCUAAUGAAUAAGUUUGGUUGGGAGUGACGCCCUCCAUCUCCGCAUCUUGGAAGACCGGGGCAGUGUCUCUCCUUGACUCUGCCAGGCUCUCCCCGGACAGGGAGAGGUGUCCUGGGUCACCACGGGCUGCUCUCAACCAUUUAUGUCUGCACCCAGGAAAGCUCUGUGCCCGGGAGACCCCCGGACUCCUCUGGGGAUCUGCUGCAGGCAACACAGCAGCUGCUCUGGCCGGUGUGGCGAUUACCAUCAGGGGGGCACUCCUCCGUGUGGCACGACUGGUACUUGGCUCUCCGACCCAGGCAGUAUCUCCCUCCGUUCUGAGGCUCGGGGUCCUCGCACUCGCGGUGUGAAAACUGUACUCCUCCUCCGCAGGUCCGUGAACAUUCUCCCCAGGGUCCCCACGGGGACCAGCCUCCAUCCACCACGGCCUGCAACACACAAGGCUGAGCUGAGUGGGGAGCAGAGGGCAGGAGGCCUCGGCUCUUGGUGUGACCUCCUCGCCUAGUUGCGCCCGUCCUGGUGCAUGCUGUUCGGUAAACUGCCUGAUUCAUCUGUGCAGGGGGCUGUUUGGCCCAUGCACCCGUGGCUCCUGGAUCACAGUCUGUGCUGGCCUUGCUCGCGGCUGGCCCCUGCUGUCUACAACAGUGCCUUGCCCUUUGUAAGGCGCUCAACAGGAGUUGCUGAGUGAAACACUUUUAUGGGAAUAAGGUUGGGUCUAGCGCAGCGGUUCUCCAUCGGCCGGGACACGUGGCAGUGUUCGGAGACCCUGUGGUUGUCACAGCUGGGCAGGGCGUAGGCUGCUGGCCUCGAGCGGGUGGCGGACAGGGUGCUGCUAAACAUCCAGCCACGAGCACGACAGCCUCCCACAGCCAGGACGCACGCAGCCCAGAUGCCACCAGUGCUGAGGCAGGUAAGUUCUGAUCUGAAGGACUCAUCUCUAGGAGGUGUGGCCACUAGUCUGCCAGCUGCCAGGUAGGAUGGUGCUGGGAACUAAACUAGAGUUGCUUCCAACUUUACAACUGACCCUGAGGACAAGGCAUUGCCUUGGGUAGGUUCAUUAAGUUUUCAAAAUGAAAAUAUUUUUUUAAAAGUUGCAGAAGUCAUACGUGCUCAUAUAAAAAAUGAAAAAUACAGAAAGGUAUAAAAAAGAAAGUAACGCUUACAAAAUACCACUACCCAGAUGAAACAAUUGACAUGAUUUUCAUCAAUAUCCUUUUGUACCUUUGCUCUGACUAUAGAAUCAUGAAGGUGCCAGGUUUUAUUUUACACAGAUAUGAUUCUGUCAUAUACAUACAUACACACACACACACACACACAUAUACAGUAUUUUAUGAUCUGUCUUUUCCCCUUGAAAAUAGGGGAUAAGCAUCAUCCCGUGAUCAUUUUCUGGCCACCUUUCCCUGUACUGGGCUUGGCUGUGGUGCUGGGAAAGGUUGGAUGGGCUCCCUCCCUGCCUCUCCCCUCAGGAACGUGUGAAGCACACGCUACAGGACAGGGUUGGGAGAAGCUCAGUGUCGGGGUGUGGGCUGGGAGGGGGCUGAGAAUGAAUCCGUGGAUCCUGUCCUGGCUCAGGCUUAGAAGAAGCAUGUGGUUUCCCCGCCCCCGCGGGCUCCCGGGCCUCAGUGCAAUGGAAGCACCCCCCGAGGACAGCCCUCCAGAGGGUGAGCGCACAGGCCACCCUGGUGAUUCAGAGCUGGGCCAGGCCCAGGCUGCGAACCCGGUGGAUGCUGUUUCACAGAUGGCUCAGUGACUCGCAGAGAAAUGUAAUCAGCCUCACAGUUAGGACGUAUUAAGAGCAGGGCAAAGAAGCAAAUCAUUUAAAAACUCUCACUGGCACUGCCUUGCCUUUCCUUGCGAGUUUACUCUGCCAGGUUUUCUCUGCCUGGUCAGACGUGAUCUGAUUCCUCCUUCCCUCCUCCUUGAGCAAGGAGUUCCCACAAUUACUCUCACUCUCCUGACCCCUAGCUAUGCAUUCGGCUCCGACACGGGUAGGAUAGGAAUACCUUCCCCUCGUUCUUGAUUGGAUGUCCCUCCUGUGCUGUCACGCUACCUGUUUAUUAUAGAAUUCAUAACGGCUUCUGUUUAUUGCGUCCCCACAACUGCUUUUGCACUGGAGUGUUCCACACCUAGCACCAAGCCUCAGGUCGACUCCGCGGCAGCCCCAGAGGCGGAGUCCCCCAAAUGCCCGGAGCCCUGCUGACGUCAUCCAUCGGCUCUGAGUACAGACUUGAACAGCUCCUCUCGGCUUCGGAUAAAUAUGCUUUGCUUUGUCCAGAGGUGAAUGAUUUUCCCUCAGAGUUGCCCCCAGGCCCAGAGUCUCUUAGUUCAUGGAUCUCAACUGUGGUUUCCUCCUUGGAAGCAGCUCUCCCUCUCCCUGUCCCCCACUCCCAGUGGCCGUCCCUCACCUUGGGCUUCUCUACUUCCUCCUCAGGCAGGCAGCUGCCAUCCAAGCAGAGGCUCCCGGGCCCGCAAGGCGUCCCGUCCGCCCAGGGCAGGCUGCCAUUCUUCGUGUGGCAAAGGGGCUCGGCGCCAUCCAUGUGGCACCAGAGCUGGGCACAGAUGUCCUGAGCAGAGGUGUUGGGGCAGUGGCGGAAGCCCAGCCCAAAGAUCUGCUUGCAUUGUUGGUCCAGCUCGUAGAGGGCCCUGCGGCCUGGGAGGCCUGUGGGCAGAGGCAGGGCCGAGGUAGGGGCGUCCAGGAGACAGUCUCCUGUGGAGGAAGCAGAGGAAUAGGAAGAAGGGUCCCCCCAAUCACACUCGAGGCCUCCUUGACCUCCACCUACAAACCGUCAGCACUCAGUCAUCCACAGAAGCUCCUCCAAGUUUAGACCAUCAGUAGCAAUUUUUUGUUUUAAGGGUUGCAUUUCUUUUGGUAUCCAGAACAUCUUAUAUGCAUUCAGUGUCUACCUAGGGAAGGCCAGCUAAUUGUAACACUAACCUACGUCACAGUAUAACUGGGGAUGUAAAUGGACUCUUAAAAACCAGGCCAGGAGAAAUAAAGCCAAAGUAUUGAUGUUGGACAAUCUAUUAUUUUUGUAUCAAGAAUCAAGAACCAGUUGUAUAAAAAUGUCAUGAAGAACUUAGGGGUAAAACAGGAAUAGAGACACAGACCUACUGGGGGUAGGCU